rnacentral:rRNA from 1 species
AGCGAACGCUGGCGGCAGGCCUAACACAUGCAAGUCGAACGAACCGCUCGGGGUUAGUGGCGGACGGGAGUAUAACGUGUGGGAACGUGCCUUUAGGGUCGGCAUCACUCAGGGACACUUGUGAUUAUACCAAAUGGGCCCUUCGGGGGAACGAUUUAUCGCCUUUAGAGCGGCCCGCGUCUGAUUAGCUAGUUGGUUGAGGUAAUGGCUCACCAAGGCGACGAUCAGUAGCUGGUCUGAGAGGAUGAUCAGCCACAUUGGGACUGAGACACGGCCCAAACUCCUACGGGAGGCAGCAGUGGGGAAUCUUGCGCAAUGGGCGAAAGCCUGACGCAGCCAUGCCGCGUGAAUGAUGAAGGUCUUAGGAUUGUAAAAUUCUUUCACCGGGGACGAUAAUGACGGUACCCGGAGAAGAAGCCCCGGCUAACUUCGUG